rnacentral:rRNA from 1 species
UGGGGAAUAUUGCACAAUGGAGGGAACUCUGAUGCAGCGACGCCGCGUGAGUGAUGAAGGAAUUCGUUUCGUAAAACUCUGUUCUAUGGGAAGAAAAGGACUGUACCAUAGGAGAAAGCUCCGGCUAAAUACGUGCCAGCAGCCGCGGUAAUACGUAUGGAGCGAGCGUUGUCCGGAAUUAUUGGGCGUAAAGGGUGCGCAGGCGGCUUUACAAGUUGGAUGUGAAAUAUUGUGGCUCAACCACAAACGUGCAUCCAAAACUGCAAAGCUUGAGUUAAGGAGAGGUAAGUGGAAUUCCUGGUGGAGCGGUGAAAUGCGUAGAUAUCAGGAGGAAUACCGGUGGCGAAGGCGACUUACGGGACAUAAACUGACGCUCAGGCACGAAAGCGUGGGGAGCAAACAGG